rnacentral:rRNA from 1 species
CCUACGGGUGGCAGCAGGGAGGAAUAUUGGUCAAUGGACGAGAGUCUGAACCAGCCAAGUAGCGUGAAGGAUGACUGCCCUAUGGGUUGUAAACUUCUUUUAUAAAGGAAUAAAACGAGGCACGUGUGCCUUUUUGCAUGUACUUUAUGAAUAAGGAUAGGCUAACUCCGUGCCAGCAGCCGCGGUAAUACGGAGGAUCCGAGCGUUAUCCGGAUUUAUUGGGUUUAAAGGGAGCGUAGAUGGGUUGUUAAGUCAGUUGUGAAAUUUUGCGGCUCAACCGUAAAAUUGCAAUUGAUACUGGCAGUCUUGAGUACAGUUGAGGUAGGCGGAAUUCGUGGUGUAGCGGUGAAAUGCUUAGAUAUCACGAAGAACCCCGAUUGCGAAGGCAGCUUACUAAACUGUGACUGACAUUGAUGCUCGAAAGUGUGGGUAUCAAACAGGAUUAGAUACCCGAGUAGUC